rnacentral:ncRNA from 2 species
CUCGCAACCAAGGGGUGCCCUGUUACGAUUCGUAGCGGAGUGCUGAGAUACCGUUUUGGUAAACCCUUAGAACCUGAUCCGGAUCAUACCGGCGGAGGGAUGGUGCUAACUCCCCAG